CUAGUCACACAUUUCUGUUGUCAUCUCUAGUUUGUCCCUUCAUGCAACAGUUGGCCGUAUUAUGGAAAAGCUGCUGGAAGAAACGAGGGCAACCCUCAAGGAUUAUUAACAACCUAUUAAGACAAAAUAAAUAUUUCUCAUUUAACACUAACGAGGAAAUGCUCGAAGGACACUUUUCCCAAGCACUUGCCUCUACGGAGCUGGUUGCCUGCUCGUGUCUUGCUCCUGUGCACCAUGGGAUGGCAACAGAGCACUCUCUGUGUCCAGGAAAGCAUCUCUUUCUUUACCAUGAGUUGACCAAAAUGUCUCAUGUUCACAUUGCAGGUGUACUUUAAGUGGGACUUUCUUAGUCGAGGGUUUUGUGCCAUUUCCCACUCUCCCUUUGUGGGUUGGUGGGGUGGAGAGGUAAAAACCGUGGGCAUGAGUGCUUUUGGGAUUGGAUCCAGAAUCUGCCUUCUGUGAGAGGAAGCCUUCUGCUCACAGAGGUUCCCACCAUCCCGAGUUGCGGGCUUCCCCUUCCCUGCACACCAGGGUCAGAUCCUGAUUCUUUGUGUGGCACCCAGAUUGCAUGUUUGAUGGUGUGCGUUAGAUGAGAAGAGCAGAACAUCAUAAGAAAAGCCC